rnacentral:lncRNA from 1 species
CUAGCGGAGCAUCCGAGUGCACAGCAAAGCCAAGACAAACACAGCGCUGCUCUCUCCUGAAAAUGUUAGUGGUUUGAAAGAUCUCCGUUGUUGCUCCAUCCCGGAAAAUGAUUCAUCCUCCCCUCGGGGUUUUGACUUGCCUCUGCACGUUUCACAACACUGCCUGGCUUUAUAAGAGCGUGGUUGCACGCGGCGACUCCUAGCAGAUUUCUCGGCUCGGUUGCGAGCGAGGCGGCGGCUAAUCCUUCUAACGAUGAUUUUCCUCUUGCAGCAUUUCAUCUUUCUGGCCAUAGACUUAUUACUCGCGACGACCCUUUCCUGCCUCUUUUAUGCCUUUAUAUGCAUUUCCAUUGCAUUUUUGACCUGCUUCAUUAUCAUCUUCUCCUUCGGCAUUGUGGAGAGGAACAUUGAUGUGAAAGGGAGAGCAAUUGUAGUUCUCGUGUCCAACAGCUCCAUUGGGAGGAUGUUUGCAAGGAACCUGGAUAAAGCAGGUUUCAGGGUGUCUGCUGCACACUGGCCUCCUCGAGAGGAGGGGACAGCUACAGAAGAAGAGUGCUUUUCAAGCACGGAGGUAGCCCAGCUCCACAUGACUGAAGAUGAGUAUCAGAAGACAAUGAAAACCUUCAUAGAAAGCCACUUAUCCCUGAAAGGCUCUGCAGAAGAAGGACAUUUGGGAAGUCAGAGCACGCACCAUGAAGCCUCCCCUACCGCAGACACCCUUCAAAGAGGCGGCAUGUAUGGGAUGAUGAAGAAGCCAUCAAUCCUGAUAUGGGAAGAGGAACCAGACACAUGCAGUGAGAAAUGUGAGAGAAAAACACUUGAGAGAAAAAACUCCUGUAAAUGGAAGAAGGUUUUCAAGGCUCCAGCCCUCUGUGUUGCAGUCCUCUUUUGCCCACUGAACUGUACCCUGACUUUCCUGAAGAGAAGCCUGCAGCUCCUUGUGCCUCUGCUGAAAUCCAAAAACUGAGAGGUGAGACAGCAGACUCACAGCUUAGUGAUGUGCACCUGACAGAGCUAACCAGCAUCUCCUGCAACGGUAGGUCUUUCCUCUGCUGGAAGGGUGACCCAGCUGGCAGGAAGAGGGCUGGGAAAGCCACCCAAGAGCAGCCGCCUGCCCCUUCCAGCACUCUUGACCCCUAAAGGACGCUUUCUGCACCAACCUGGCCCCAAGGAGUCCAGCCUGGGGCACAGCCACACACAGGCAACCACCUGGGGGGCAAAAAUAAACCAAAUUUGGCUUGUGUUCCCUUAACUGGU